GUUAAGCGUCUGCCUUCGGCUCGGGUCAUGAUCCCAGGGUCCUGGGAUCGAGCCCCGCAUCGGGCUCUCUGCUCUGUGGGAAGCCUGCUUCUCCCUCACCCACUCCCGCUGCUUGUGUUCCUGCUCUCGCUAUCUCUGUCUCUGUCAAAUAUAUAAAUAAAUAAAAUCUUUAAAAAAAAAAAAAAAGAAAUACGGUGUCUCUAUUUUUUACAAUAUUUUUGAAAUUCUGACUCCAACACUGCUGGGCCAGUAGAAAAUAUCAUUUUAAUUAUUGUUCUGCUUCCGUCCCGACCCAUUCUCAGGGGGCGGGGCUCUCAAGAUUCCAGGAGUCUAAGGCAGUGACAAGAGCCUCUGCUAAUUAACCCACCAUGUUCUGUCUGCAUGGUGCCUUCGUGCCUGAUGGCCAUCUACUGUUUCUGCACAGGGCUGAGAACAUCAGUGCCUGUGGCCUCCGCUCCAGAUGCUUCAUCGAAAAGCUCUUUCUCUCUGGGGUCAUGCUCCAACAUGGCCCCGGCCAGAAAGCAGAACCCACAGAAAUUGCUCCUCCCCACAACUGGAGGGAUUUCCUUUUCAUCUAUUGUUUCCCCACCUGUUUUUCCAAGUCCCUAAAGCUUUUCUCAAAGUCUACCCUCUCCUUGGGCCUCCGGCUCUUAGAAAACAAAAGCCAGAAUCCUUCUGCUUCUCAUCUUGGCACUUACCUCCCUGAAGCAAAGGACAUGGAGUCUGCUACCUGCUCAAGUGGGAAAUGGAAAGGGAGAACUUCAAACGGCUUUGACACAAGUCAGAAGUGAACGUUACAGGAUUGGGACACAUAAUUCAGAGAAGAAAGGGAUUCCGCUGAGGCAGGGGUGGGAAGAGAGAAACCGAGGCAAACUGAAGACUUAAGGUAUCUUGCCCUUGUGAGUGAGCCUGGGAGGCUGGGCAGUAUUUCCUGUCAUGGAGGGUGAUGGAUAGAAAGAGAGGCCCAAGCAAGGAGAUAUAUUAGAGCUGGUGUAGAGCUGAAGGCAAAUAAUCUCGUCUGACCGGAUGUGUUUGAGCCGUGGGAAAAGGAGUGCUUGCUGAGAGUGAGGGGAACAGUCCCUGGGUCACACUAGAGCUUGAACGUUGACACAGUUGGGAACAGCACUGGGGAACAUAAAAAGAGUCCGUUCCUGAGGAACAAAAGAACAGAUCCAUGCAACUGCAAGUUUUCUCUCCGUAAAUACAGAAUCCUUGUUGUUGUUGUUGUUGUUGUUUUUAAGUUUGUUUGUUUUUUAAUUUAUUUGAGAGAGAGAGAGAGAGAGCAUGAGCAAGGGAGAGGGGCAGAGGGAGAGGGAGAAGCAGACUCCCUGCUGAGCUGGGAGCCCAAUGUGGGGUUCGAUCCCAGGACAUUGGGAUUAGGGCCUGAGCCGAAGGUAGACACUUAACCAACCGACUGAACCCCCCAGGUGCCCCAAUACAGAAUCCUUUUAUGGUGGCUUUCUGAAAUCUCUCCAGGCAGACGUGAGAAGAAAUAGCCUUUAAACCAUAUAUCUGGUUUGAGGCAUAUAUUAAUUAUAUCAUUCUCUGUGUUUUCUGCUAGACAUUCUCUCUUCCUUACAUGUUGUUAUAGCAUUCGUUAGAGCCUUCUUUUUUGGGAAUCUGUUAAGAUGCCAGAGUCCCUCAGCAUUGUAAACCUGGAAAAGUAGCAGCUCUUCAUGGCCAGCAUUCCCGACUCCCGUGCUGUCUUUCCCGGCACUGAACUUCUGUUCCCAGAGAAGCUCAUCUUCACCUGCUCUAGUGCUGGCUUGUUUUCUUUCCUGGGCGGCUUUGGGCGGAGUGGGGGAGACAGUUCAUCACGAAGACCAGUGGCACUUGGGGCUUCAAGGUCACUGUUGGGUCUACGACUGGAGCAGGUGAGAAAGGGGGAGCCGAAAACCCACCUCACUCCAGGGUGGGUGCCAUGCGCCGCCCUCCCCCCUCCGGUGGUGCAGGAACCCGUCUUCCUUUAUCCCCUUUUAUUCUUUCCAAGGUUUUCCACACCUCCCAUGUCUCUUUAGAUCUGGUGUUGUUUUUACUUGAUGGUACCUCUGUUGGGGAUUUAGGGAUUUGUAUGAAGUGGGAAGUAAGAAAGAACAACAGAAACCUCUCUACCUUCUUAGCCUUACUGAUACUGUCUUCGAUAAAAGGACUGCUACUGUCCUCAUGAUCCCAUGAGAACUGUUGGUACUGGUAUUUUUAAACCAUCUGAUUUCAGUAUUCAUACCUGGGCAUAUCCUAAUAACAUGGGAUUAUUGAAUUCUUGUUCUCAUCUUUGUAAUGUUUCCAAGUUAAAUAUGUGACUAUCAACUCUUUCCUCCAGCCCAAAGGAAAAGAAGUCCACCGAAAAGCUGGGAAUCACAGAACAUUUGGAAUUGGGGGUUCAGAAUUGCAUGCUCCCUGGGCUGGAGCAUCUUUCUCUUCUCUCUGACCAUCCAGCAAAGGAAGAGGAUGAUCUAGAAGCAAUGCUACAUGGAGCUUGGUUUACUUAUGAGGCCAAAAGAGAAUUGCAUUUCUCAUUAUGAUCAAUGUGUUGCAUAUGCUGUGUCAUAUUUGAAAAAUCUUGGGUCACCCUUUUGUGAUACAGCAAUUCAAGUUCUGGUUAUAUGUUCACUUCACUUCGACGCUUGGCUUCAAAGUCCAUCAGAGCUGAAGCAGACACUUUACAGAUGGAGAUACAUAGAUCCAAAUGGAAGAAAGGCCUCAUUCGAUGAGCUUUAUUAACUCCCCACACUCAUUUUUCAAUCCUAUCUUUUGCGCAAAGACAUUUGUUGAAAUUUUCCUUGAUUUAAGGUUUUUGUUCUUCGUCAUGUGCAACAAAGUAAAUGGAAACAUUUCUAAACACCUGUUUUCAAAAUGUUCUUGCCAUAGGUUGAGUUUCUUUUGAAGAGAAAUGACUUUUUCACUGUUAGAGUGCUACUUCAACCUUGAAAGGACAGAUUGUGGGUUUACUCUUUGUGUAUGUAUGUAUGUAUUUUUGUGUGUAUUUACUUUUAAAAACAGUAUGUGCUAGAUGCCAUACUAAAAAUAUCCACUUGCCAUGACGGAAAAUGACAGCUCCUCUGCAAACACUUGUCCUUUUGUCAAAGAAAGAAUGCACGACUCAUUCCCAGGUUCUGCAGCUCCUUUAAAUACACUGCCAUGAGAUGACCAGCGAGGUACCUGAGGCUGACCUGCCAUUCCCCAUUGCAAGGCAAAGCGCUAUAAAGAUCCUACAAUUUGAAGGCUUUGUUUUUAUGAAAUUAAUCCCAUCUGAUGGUAUCCUAUAAGCAUGGAAGUUGCAACUGGCAAUAGGCAAGACCCAGAACCAGGAGAAGGUCCCUCCCCUCUCCUCUCUGCAUCUCCCUCUCUGUGUGUACGUUGCUCAUGGUGAUGGCAGCCAUGUGAGACAUCAGACUGUCUCAUGUUCGGAUCAAGAGGUGGCAUCUUAACGGAUUGUCUUGAGUGUCCCAUGGAAGGUGUGUGUACCCCACAUGAAGAUUCUCUACACAAGGACUCUUCUCCAAGUGAAUUCAAAAACUUGUUUUCCUUUAGUCUCUGAAAUACUCUUCCCUCCCUUUUAAAGUAAAAUACCAGCCAGAUUUAGUCUCCACAGGACUAUACCCUCAGGGGAGUUGGCUAGGGUUGCUCUGGGAAGACUUGGCAGGUUGUCCCUGGGACUGUCCUAUGCCUGGGGCAGCAAGAUGAUAAACAUGACGGCAUCUACAACUUCUGUUUAUUGGGCUAUUAUUUUGUGUGGGUCCCUACUCUGUUUCAUAAAUACAGUCGGUUCUCUUUGU